UACAGAGGGGGCAAGCGUUGUUCGGAAUUACUGGGCGUAAAGGGCUCGUAGGCGGCCAACUAAGUCAGACGUGAAAUCCCUCGGCUUAACCGGGGAACUGCAUCUGAUACUGGAUGGCUUGAGUUCGGGAGAGGGAUGUGGAAUUCCAGGUGUAGCGGUGAAAUGCGUAGAUAUCUGGAGGAACACCGGUGGCGAAGGCGGCAUCCUGGACCGACACUGACACUGAGGAGCGAAAGCCAGGGGAGCAAACGGG
rnacentral:rRNA from 1 species